rnacentral:ncRNA from 1 species
GGGGGACAGCAAAUGCGGUGAUGCCCAGAGCGGCCAUGAAAAGACGCUGACCGGACUGCUGCCGAUGCUGGCAGGUGCCAACAUCAUUUACGGUC